rnacentral:rRNA from 1 species
AUUGAACGCUGGCGGCAUGCCUUACACAUGCAAGUCGAACGGUAACAGGUCUUUCGGGAUGCUGACGAGUGGCGAACGGGUGAGUAAUACAUCGGAACGUGCCUAGUAGUGGGGGAUAACUACUCGAAAGAGUGGCUAAUACCGCAUGAGAUCUAUGGAUGAAAGCAGGGGACCUUCGGGCCUUGUGCUACUAGAGCGGCCGAUGGCAGAUUAGGUAGUUGGUGGGAUAAAAGCUUACCAAGCCUGCGAUCUGUAGCUGGUCUGAGAGGACGAUCAGCCACACUGGGACUGAGACACGGCCCAGACUCCUACGGGAGGCAGCAGUGGGGAAUUUUGGACAAUGGGUGAAACCCUGAUCCAGCAAUGCCGCGUGCAGGAUGAAGGCCUUCGGGUUGUAAACUGCUUUUGCACGGAACGAAAAGUCUUGGGUUAAUACCCUGGGAUCAUGACGGUACCGUAAGAAUAAGCACCGGCUAACUACGUGCCAGCAGCCGCCGUAA